UCUCACUCUCCACCUCCAUCUCCACCUUCUGCACUAAGACUUUGUGGACAAAUUCACUGAUGAUCUGACAUUUUGCUCCGCAUCUGUGAUACUCCCUCAUUUGGUGUUUUGAUGGCGAUGAAGAGUGAUGUCUAACAAGCCAGCCCAAAAUCUCAGACAGAGUUUGAGGUGCCAGAA